CUGCCUCAACACCUUUCUUCUUUACAAAAAUUGAAGAUCAGUGAUUGCAACGAGUUGGAGGAAUUGUUAUGCCUUGGAGAGUUUCCUUUGCUUAAAGAGAUUUCUAUAUCCUUUUGUCCCGAAUUGAAAAGGGCUCUGCAUCAACACCUUCCUUCUUUACAAAAACUGGAGAUUCGGAAUUGCAACAAGUUGGAGGAAUUGUUAUGCCUUGGAGAGUUUCCUUUGCUUAAAGAGAUUUCUAUAAGAAAUUGUCCCGAAUUGAAAAGGGCUCUGCCUCAACACCUUCCUUCUUUACAAAAACUGGAUGUAUUUGAUUGCAACGAGUUGGAGGAAUUGUUAUGCCUUGGAGAGUUUCCUUUGCUUAAAGAGAUUUCUAUAAGAAAUUGUCCCGAAUUGAAAAGGGCUCUGCAUCAACACCUUCCUUCUUUACAAAAACUGGAGAUUCGGAAUUGCAACAAGUUGGAGGAAUUGUUAUGCCUUGGAGAGUUUCCUUUGCUUAAAGAGAUUUCUAUAAGAAAUUGUCCCGAAUUGAAAAGGGCUCUGCAUCAACACCUUCCUUCUUUACAAAAUCUGGAGAUUCGGAAUUGCAACAAGUUGGAGGAAUUGUUAUGCCUUGGAGAGUUUCCUUUGCUUAAAGAGAUUUCUAUAAGAAAUUGUCCCGAAUUGAAAAGGGCUCUGCCUCAACACCUUCCUUCUUUACAAAAACUGGAUGUAUUUGAUUGCAACGAGUUGCAGGAAUUGUUAUGCCUUGGAGAGUUUCCUUUGCUUAAAGAGAUUUCUAUAUCCUUUUGUCCCGAAUUGAAAAGGGCUCUGCAUCAACACCUUCCUUCUUUACAAAAACUGGAGAUUCGGAAUUGCAACAAGUUGGAGGAAUUGUUAUGCCUUGGAGAGUUUCCUUUGCUUAAAGAGAUUUCUAUAACAAAUUGUCCCGAAUUGAAAAGGGCUCUGCCUCAACACCUUCCUUCUUUACAAAAACUGGAUGUAUUUGAUUGCAACGAGUUGCAGGAAUUGUUAUGCCUUGGAGAGUUUCCUUUGCUUAAAGAGAUUUCUAUAUCCUUUUGUCCCGAAUUGAAAAGGGCUCUGCAUCAACACCUUCCUUCUUUACAAAAACUGGAGAUUCGGAAUUGCAACAAGUUGGAGGAAUUGUUAUGCCUUGGAGAGUUUCCUUUGCUUAAAGAGAUUUCUAUAAGAAAUUGUCCCGAAUUGAAAAGGGCUCUGCCUCAACACCUUCCUUCUUUACAAAAACUGGAUGUAUUUGAUUGCAACGAGUUGGAGGAAUUGUUAUGCCUUGGAGAGUUUCCUUUGCUUAAAGAGAUUUCUAUAAGAAAUUGUCCCGAAUUGAAAAGGGCUCUGCCUCAACACCUUCCUUCUUUACAAAAACUGAAGAUUAGUAAUUGCAACAAGAUGGAGGCAUCAAUUCCCAAGUGUGAUAAUAUGAUAGAGUUAGAUAUACAGAGUUGUGAUAGAAUUUUGGUAAAUGAAUUGCCGACUAGCCUGAAAAAGUUACUCCUUUGGCAAAAUCGGAACACGGAGUUCUCCGUGGACCAAAAUUUAAUCAAUUUUCCCUUUCUUGAAGACUUGAAGUUGGAUUUCAGAGGCUGUGUAAACUGUCCCUCUUUGGAUUUACGUUGCUAUAAUUUUCUUCGUGAUCUUUCAAUAAAAGGCUGGUGCUCCUCCUCCUUGCCUUUGGAACUACACUUGUUCACCAGUCUUCGUUCUCUGCGUCUGUACGAUUGUCCAGAGCUGGAAUCGUUUCCAAUGGGUGGUUUGCCUUCCAACUUGAGGGACCUUGGAAUAUACAAUUGCCCAAGACUGAUUGGUUCGAGAGAGGAGUGGGGGUUGUUCCAACUCAAUUCCUUGAGAUAUUUCUUUGUUAGUGAUGAGUUUGAAAACGUGGAGUCGUUCCCAGAGGAGAAUCUGCUGCCACCAACUCUGGACACUCUUGAUUUAUAUGAUUGUUCAAAGCUAAGAAUAAUGAACAACAAGGGUUUUCUCCACCUCAAAUCUCUCAAAUAUCUAUAUAUUGAAGACUGUCCUAGUCUUGAGAGCUUGCCAGAGAAGGAGGAUCUACCCAACUCCCUUACUACUUUGUGGAUUGAAGGUAAUUGUGGAAUAAUAAAGGAGAAGUAUGAAAAGGAGGGAGGAGAGCUUUGGCAUACAAUUAGUCACAUCCCUUGUGUGUAUAUUGACUAGCCAACUCUCUUGAGCAUUUGACCAUUAAGAAUUGUGGAAUAAUAAAGGAGAAGUAUGAAAAGGAGGGAGGAGAGCGUUGGCAUACAAUUACUCACAUCCCGAAUGUGUGGAUAUCUGAAUUCAAUUAGGCAGGAAUGAAGGUUAAUUGCACCGCCACAUAGUGCUAGCAAGACCAAGUUAUGGGUCCCACAUACUUUGACUCUUUGUGAAUAUCUGAAUUCAGGUGAACAAAUUUCCCACACACAAGGGUUAUUACGCUGAAUUAAGGUCCGAAUAUAUCUCUUAGUCAAAUAUUUGUUAUUUUUCUUUUAUUUCCCCUUUUUUUAUUCUUAUUUUCUGACUUAUAUAUUUUUUCACAGGACAAGAGGGAUUCUUCAUUUAGAAUAGUUUGAAGAGUGGUGGGAAUUUGUUUUUGUAUGAUUUGGGACAAUAUGAGUGAGGGUAGUUUCGGAAAUGAUGAUUGUGUUAGAGAACAAACUCAAUUGGAGUGUGGUGAUUCAAUCUUUGCUCUGAAUUAUCUUUUUAGUUCCCAACAUAUCUUCUUCCUCUUCAGGUAAAAUACUUACUAUUUGUGGAUUAACCGAGCUAUUGGCCAUGUUGGAUGAAAAUUGUUGUAUACACAUAUUAAAGGAUUGAAAAACACUAGUAAAAGAUCGAAAUACCCUUCAGGAGUUAACUGUCGAGGAAGCUAAUCGGUUGCAGUUAAAUGUCGUAGAGCUUCAAACCUGACACAUACAAACCAUCUGAUCACCGUCAAACGACCAAGAUCAACGACUGCAUGAUUAAAUUAAACAAAAACGACACAAUUGAUUAAAUUAAAUUAAAUUAAAUGUACUAUAAAUGCAUUACAUAUGUGAGUCAAAUCUUAAUUUACCAAUUGAACAAAAACGACACAAUUGAUUAAGUUAAAUUAAAUGCACUAAAAGUCAAAUCCUAAUUUUCCAAAUUAAACAAAAACAACACAAUUGAUUAAAUUAAAUUACUGUUAUUUUCCAGCUAUUUUACAAAAUUUAUAGGUCCACUAUUGCAUUAUUGAUUUAUUUUUCCACGCAAUAAGUAGUACCAGUUUGAUUUACGUCCCAUAGAUUAAUUUUUUUUUGUCCUUUACCAACACUUUAUACCAUAAGAUAUACAGAACUAGAUAGAAGUAUAUAAUGUAUGAUAAAUAGUAGUGUUGUGUAUAAUGGCUAAUUAUACAGUGAAAAUGCACGAUAACUGCACUACAUAUGAGUCAAAUUUUGGCACUAUUAAGAAUAAAUAUUAAGAAUAUAUAUUGGUCAAGAUUAAGAAUAUUUUUUUAUUACCCUUAAAAAAAAAAGAAUAUUUUUUAUUAUCUUGAAUAAUGAUAGACAUCAACGAAAUUAAUUAUAAAUAUUUCCUUAUUAAAGAAUUAAAUUUAAUUAAGGAAAAAUUUAGAUGUAUUUCAUUAUUUAAGUUCAGGUUUUAAGUUCUUCGACAGUUAACUGCCAAAGUUUUUCUCGAUAGUUAGCUGCCAAAGGGGUAUUUCGGUCUUUUACUAGUGUUUCUCAGCCCUUUAACAUGUGUAUACAGCCAUUUUCAUGUUGGAUUUACGGUGAAUUUGAUAGAAUCGUGGUAAUUUUGUCAAAAUUUAUACUUUUGAACUUCAACAAAAUCAGGUACUCAUUCCAUGAUCAUUUGAUGUAUGGACUGUGUAUAUGUGUCCAUAUCUGAAAUAACUUUAGAAAUUAGAAACCAUUUUUUUACUGUAAUAAAUAAGCCUAUUUGUGCCUUAGGAUCUAUAAGGCGCGGACACUCCUCGGAUUAGGUGUGUCUCGGUAUCGGACAUGUGUUGUGUCCAACACGACACCGACAUAUAUAAUUAUGCGUGAUUUUCUCAAAUUAUUAGCGGUGUCGACAUGUCAGUGUACGUGUCCGUAUCCGUGCUUCGUAUCUUAGGAUGUAGUCAAUUUUAUCCUAGUGUGUCUUAAUUAUUAUUUUUUAAAAUACAUAGGGAAGUUAUGCAACUGGGAGGUUAGGCAGUUAUUUGAUGUAAACUGUCACAAUCCGUCUCUAUUCAGUAAACAAGAUGCUGAUAUAUCUGAUGUGCUUGUGUAAACAAAAUGGUUUGAUAGAAAUUAUACAGAUGAGCAUUAAUUUUCGUAAAAUACUCCAUAUUGUGUAAACAAAAUGGUUUUACAGAAAUUAAAUAAAAGAGCAUUAAUUUUCUUCAAUACUCUUGCUUUUAAUUGCUUUUAAUCCAAUCUUGAUAUAUUUUUACAAGGUUGUGACCUAAGAGGGCAUCUUUCAAAUAAAGUUGUAUUAAAACUUUUAUUAUAGUACUGAUUUGAAUUAUGAAAUGUAUUUUACUUUGAAAAAUUCAACUGGAUGGCAUAAUAAUUAUAUUCUUUGAGACAGUUCUGCAUCAAGGGCUGAAGGAUGCCAGGGAGUUGAUCUUGCACAUUCAAAGGCAUAACAUGUUACCUUUCAAAGAUAUUACUUACAAUGGUAAGUGCUCUCAGCAUUCUUAGGUUACACUUAACUGAGUAGAUGAAAAUUGGAAAUUAAAAAGAAAAAAAAACAUUCAUAACAGGCUUACUUUAAUUUAAAAUCUGCUACUUUCUGUUCAGUACAUGGUUUAGAUAGAUAAGGCAUUGUUCUUGCUAUAAAAAAGAGGUAGCAGGGCACACAAUUUCGCAACAAAGAAAUUUUGGUUUUUGUUUCUUUCAUCCAAAGAUGAUUUAGACUCGACGUAGAGCCUCGUGAUCAUGUGUGGGCAAGGGAAGAGGCUGACAUUGUUUGAAUUCCAUCCAUUCCAAUUUGUUCAUGGUUUGUAUUCAAGCAUUAUAAUGAAACAUAUUUCACUUACUUUUAUAAAGGUCUUCUAAAACUAUGUUUCAAAGUGUUCUGCAACAAAUUGUCAUACACCAUAUUCUGACUUUAUGAGCCAUCUUUUUUAUUCUGUUUACGCUGAUUGUCUGUUUUUCUUCUUGUGUCUUCCCAGGAAACAUGAGACUUGAGAAAAGAAGCCGAUGAAUUAAUUGCAUCAACCAAUUACAUGGUGAGGAUGUCAUGUGGCCUUUUACCGUGAUUUUCAUUUUAUUUAUAUUUUUAAUUGUUAAGUGAUAAAAAAUUGAAUGACAUGCCACUUUGUUGUUUAAGGGAAUUUUGGUGGAUUCAAUGACAUCCAACUUGAGAAAAAACCACUGUCCUCAUGGUGGAUGAGAGCUUCCAUGGUGUUUGGAACAACCAAUGACUCUUCCAAUGAUUUUUACUAAGACUGGACUGCAUUUUAUAUGCUGCCAAAUGUAACACAGAACCAUUCUGCAAUGCACCACUCCAAGGAAAUUAGGAGCAUCAGUACAAAGUUAACCAACUCCAAGUGGAAUAAACAUGUGUUUCAGACGAAGAAUAUCAUUGUUGAGAUGUGAUGUCAAGACUCAGGCAUCGACUUCAACAUCUUACUCUUUGUAUGUCCUUCCUAGUUCAUACACCGGAAGUUGACUUGUCAAUUUAGUGAAAUUCAAUAAAACACUACUUUUCAUUGCAGUACUUCUGAUUGUAAUUCAUUACUUUUUCUCAGUUUGUGAAUAAGUUUAUCUUUCUGCAUCAUUAGAAGGUUCUUCUGUGCUCAAAAAGCCACAACAGUUCGUUAAGCAUAUGUUAACUCCAUUGUCUUUAAUUUCUGCAUACCGUGACACGCUCUUUUAGUAAUAUAAAUUGCAUCAUGUCAUCUUUUCCCUAGUUUUACAUUCAAACAUAGUUAAGAUCACAUAUAAUUAUCUCACUGGCUUAUCUCUCAGAGCUUGUGGAUGAGAUAAGAAACUUAAAACUUUUGCGUUACCUAGACCUUUCUUACGUAUAAUUUGCAAACUCUCUUGUUGGGAGGUUGUGGUGAAUUGACUGAGCUCCCUUCAAAUUUUUCCAAACUCAUCAAUUUACGUCAUCUUGAGCUCCCUUGUAUAAAUAAAAUCCCAAAGAAUAUGGGAAAGCUAAAUAAUCUUCAGACCUUGUCAUAUUUUAUUGUGGAAGCCCAUAAUGAAUCUGAUCUCAAAGAUUUGGCAAAACUCAACCAUCUUCAUGGAACAAUUCAUAUUAAAGGCUUGGGUAAUGUCAGUGAUACUGCAGAUGCUGCCCCAUUAAAUUUGAAAGAUAUAGAAGAAUUGCAUACUGAGUUCAAUGGCGGAAGAGAAGAAAUGGCUGAAAGCAACCUGUUAGUCUUGGAGGCUAUACAACCAAAUAGCAACUUGAAGAAGCUCAACAUCACACACUACAAAGGUAGUAGAUUUCCAAAUUGGCUAAGGGGUAGUCAUUUACCCAACUUAGUAUCUCUUCAACUGAAUGGUUGUGGGUUAUGUUCCUGUUUGCCACCCCUUGGACAACUCCCUUCUCUUAAGAAACUUUCCGUUUAUGAUUGUGAAGGAAUAAAGAUCAUUGAUGAAGAUUUUUAUGACAAUAAUUCAACAAUUGUUCCAUUCAAGUCCCUUCAAUUUUCGAUAUUUGAGAAUAUGGUGAACUGGGAGAAAUGGAUAUGUCUAAGGUUUCCUUUGCUUAAAGAGCUUUCUAUAAGAAAUUGUCCUAAAUUGAAAAGCACCUUGCCUCAACAGCUUCCUUCUUUACAAAAAUUGUGCAUAAAUAAUUGCAACAAGUUGGAGGAAUGGUUAUGCCUUGGAGAGUUUCCUUUGCUUAAAGAGAUUUCUAUAACAAGUUGUCCCGAAUUGAAAAGGGCUCUGCCUCAACACCUUCCUUCUUUACAAAAACUGGAGAUUAUUGAUUGCAGCAAGAUGGAGGCAACAAUUCCCAAGUGUGAUAAUAUGAUAGAGUUAGAUAUACAGACAUGUGAUAGAAUUUUGGUAAAUGAAUUUCCGACGAGUUUGAAAAGGUUAUUCCUUUGUGAUAAUCAGUACACCGAGUUAUCCAUGCAGCAAAAUGUAAUAAAUUUUCCCUUUCUUGAAGAGUUGGGGUUGGAUUGGAGUGGCUCUGUGAAAUGUCCUUCUUUGGAUUUACGUUGCUAUAAUUCUCUUUGGAGACUAUCAAUAAAAGGAUGGCACUCCUCCUCCUUGCCUUUGGAACUACACUUGUUCAUGAUAGGAACCCAAAUUAAGAGAAACAAAAGAAAUAGUAUUAUAGAUUGAAUAGAAAAUAUUACAGAAGAUUAUCCCUCUGUAAUCCCAGAGCAAAAGCUCCUCAAAGAAGAGACAUUUCUCUUUCUGCCCAAAACCAAUAAGGUUCCUAAUUGAAUAAUUCUGAAUUCCUCCCUACUGUUGUGGUCAAAUGGCCUUAUUUAUACAACUAAGGGCAUAAACUGCCUAUAACCGCUCCUAAUCAAUACAAAUUACUACAUAAACUGCCUAACUGCUCCUAAUCAACACAAAUACUGCAUAUUAUACAAAAUGCUAACUGCUCCUAAAUAACUAUAUAUUAAAAUAACUACUAUAUAUUAAAAUAACUGAUUGCAUCAAGCAGUUACCCUAUCAAUACCACCGGAUACCUAACAUUACCGACCGCUAGAAAAACAGCCUUGUCCUCAAGGCUGAGUUAAAGAAACUAACUUGAAUUCUUUUGCCCCCAGGAUCCCAUUGUUGGAACCCUGACAAGCCCCCUUCAAACAACCAAGCCACAUACAAAGUUUUAUAUUUGCAACUCCUUUCUUUCAAAUUCAGCGAGAAUGGCUUCGGCGGUGGUUGUGGGUAGACCCCACCCUCUUGCUCUCUUUUUCUAACUGUCAUGUAAGAUUUUCUUCUUGCUUUCGUUUCUUCAUCGUUGACGGUCUUCUCUAAAACUGGUGCAUCGUGUUUUUCUGUCAUCUUCCAUAGUUUUGGUUCUGAUUCUUGAUCAUCAUUUUGCACCAUUUGUUUAUCUGUUGAGUGCUCCAUCUGUGCUCCAAAUUCUUUAAUCAUAGCCAUAGAAAAUGACUUCCAAUCAGCAUCUGGGUUCUCUUGGCACCAAUGAUAAAACCACAACAACGCUUCUUCAUCCUCCAUACUCAUGAAAGCCCACUGCAACUUAUCACAUGAGUGGAUUUCAUUAUCUCUGCAAAGAACAUUUCAGCCCUUGUGAUCCAUCCAGCAGGAUCCGCCCCAGUAAAUUGUGAUAGUUUAUACUUCAAAGUCCAUAUUCCAUCCAUCUCCGAUAACACUGGUUUCCUUCUCGUAUCCGGUAGGUCGGACCAAUUGAUAGGAACCCAAAUUAAGAGAAACAAAAGAAAUAGUAUUAUAGAUUGAAUAGAAAAUAUUACAGAAGAUUAUCCCUCUGUAAUCCCAGAGCAAAAGCUCCUCAGAGAAGAGACAUUUCUCUUUCUGCCCAAAACCAAUAAGGUUCCUAAUUGAAUAAUUCUGAAUUCCUCCCUACUGUUGUGGUCAAAUGGCCUAUUUAUACAACUAAGGGCAUAAACUGCCUAUAACCGCUCCUAAUCAAUACAAAUUACUACAUAAACGGCCUAACUGCUCCUAAUCAACACAAAUACUGCAUAUUAUACAAAAUGCUAACUGCUCCUAAAUAACUAUAUAUUAAAAUAACUACUAUAUAUUAAAAUAACUGAUUGCAUCAAGCAGUUACCCUAUCAAUACCACCGGAUACCUAACAGUUCACCAGUCUUGAUACUCUGUAUUUGUACGAUUGUCCAGAGCUGGAAUCCUUUCCAAUGGGUGGUUUGCCUCCCAACUUGAGUGACCUUUCAAUAUGUAAUUGCCCAAAACUGAUUGGUUCGAGAGAGGAGUGGGGUCUGUUCCAAUUCCAACUCAAUUCCUUGAAAUAUUUCACUAUUGAUGAUGACUUUGAAAACGUGGAGUCCUUCCUAGAGGAGAAUCUUCUGCCACCAUCUCUUUUCUCUUUGGGUUGAAAAAUUUUUCAAAGCUAAGAAUAAUGAACAAAAAGGGUUUUCUCCACCUCAAAUCUCUUGAUUGUCUAUAUAUUGAAGACUGCCCUACUCUUGAGAGCUUGACAGAGAAGGAGGAUCUACCCAACUCCCUUACUACUUUGUGGAUUGAACCUAAUUGUCGAAUAAUAAAGGAGAAGUAUGAAAAGGAGGGACGAGAGCGUUGGCAUACAAUUGGUCACAUCCCUGAAGUGAGAUUUUGGUGAAUUGGAUGCAAUUGCGGGUCCCACGUUGGUUAGGAAGGUGCGAACAUAUUCUUAAACAAACAACUAAUGCAUCAAAUCUCUCUUAUUCUUCUUAAUUUUAUUUCCCUUUUUUAUAUUCUUAUUUUCAGACUUCAAUUUAUUUUCCAGGCUAAGAGGGAUUCUGCGUUUGGAAUGGUGUGAGGGUAGUUUGAGAAAUGAUGAUUGUCGUGAUUUUGUUAAGAUUUAUUUAUUGGACUGUGAUGGUGGUGAUUAAAUUAAUCUUCUUUCUCUUCUCUUCAGGUAAAUUACUCUCUGUGUGCAUGUUUGGAUUAACCGGCCUAUUGUGUUUUGAUUCACGGUGAAUUUGUCAACAUAAUCAUAUGCUAAUUUCACAAACUCCUUGUCAACAUCGUUACAUAGAGGAUUGAUUAAUUUAUUCAUAACUGUCAUCUUCCCUUAUUUUUGUAUGUGUUUUUCUUCCCACCUUUUAAUCAUUACAAUAUAUAUGGAUUGUGUUCUAUGUGUGUGUCCAUAUCUAAAAUUACUUUAGAAAUUAGAAACCAUUUUUUAUCCUAGAGAAAUAGGCCAAUAAGGACUGCUUUGUUAUCAUGGUUUUUGGGUGCCAAGCCAUUAAUUGGACUUGUACCUUUCGACCGUUGAUAUCUCUCUUUUUUCUUGGGAAGGGUAAAAGGAGAAAAACCCUUGAGUUUCCGAAUUCGGGGGUCGGUUUUACUACGGGAAGGUGUUAGGCACCCGGAGUAACUAUAGUCCUCUAUAGGAGCCGUUUUCCUAAGUCUAUAUUCACGCUUAUUUUUACUUACUUUUGAAAAUGGGAGGUUUAUUUAGUUAAGAAUGGGGGGAGAGAAGUUGUAAGACUUUUUAUCUUUUAGUUGAUUUGAAGAAAAUUUUAAUGUGUUGCUAUUUGAUUUUUUAAAGUUUGAAAAUGAUUUUUUUGAAGAAGAGAAAGGAGGCCUUAAAGGCUUGAGAAGUAAAAAAUGUGAAGUUUGUCCAAUUUUACUUAAUAAAAUAGUCUAAGUCACUUAAGGUUCAUUUAGAAUUUUCUUAAGAAAGUAAAAGGAAACAUCAAAGGAGCUUUGACUCCAAAGUUCAUUUUAAAGAAAAAAGCUAGAAUUAUGGAACUUGGUUUGCUUUACGAAAAAAUAUUUUCUAAGUACUCGCGUUCCCUAAUCAUACAUCUAAACGAAUGUCAUACACCGUGUGUGAGUGUCGGUGCUCGUGUCGGUGUACAUCAAUAGAGUCCAUAGUCCCUUUUACAUUGUCCUAGAUACAUUCUAUGGUCUUUGCAUGAAAUAUAAAAGAUAACACCUACCUAAAUAUUACAAUUCCAAACAAAAGUAAAAAAUGAAUGCAAAGAAACUAAACUAUGUAAAAGAAUGGAAAUGGAAUGCUAAAUGAUAUGUAUGAAGUACCAAAGUAAACUUGUUAGUGAGAAAAAAACAUAACAAGUACUAAGAAAUAAAAGCAUGCAAGAUGGCACAAAAAGUUAACAAAAUGACAUUAAACCCUAAAAACUUAGGUAUGAAACCUAAAGCAUUCUUGGCCUCUAAUUCUCAUGCUUUAACAAAUUUUGAAAGAGUUUUCUUUAUCUCAAGUUAUAGCAUGGAAUUAUUGGAAACAUGCAAGCAUGGUUUCAUGCCAUAUUUUCUAGAAUAAACUUGGCAUUUUAUAUCUUUCAAAAUAUGCAUAUAUUGUUCAUAAAAUUAAGAACUCAUGAACCAAAUCAAAGCAGCAAAUCAACAUGAAAUUAUAGGCACAAAUCUCUCAUAUUAACAUAUCAAGUAGCUUUUAUUACAUAUUCUCACAUCAAGGACAAAUGUGUGAAGAAGAAACCAUAACAAAUAAUUCAAAGAGAAUUAAAAUGCUAUGAAUUAAUUAUACCAAAAUUUCAUAGAUCCUUAAUGUGCAAAAAUGUCAUAAAAAACACUAAGAAAAUAUCAAGAAACAUGUAUGAAUUUUUCUAGGAAUUUUAUCACAAGUUUAAACAAGACGUAGGUGCAGAUAGCAAAAAAUAGGGGUGUGAAUAGCACAGGAAUAGCAAAACGUGAAAGAAAACUGAGGCCCCAAACCAAAACCCAAAACAGACUGGACCUGGAUCAUCCAAAGGCCUCAGAGGCGUUGGAUUGAUCCGGAUCCAGAUCUAACGGUUCAAAACACGCAGCGCAUGGUAACGUAGAUCAAGCAUAUGGUAACAAACGCAUCACAGCCAUUCAAAAGAAAAAAAACCUAGAUCCUACGGUCCAAAAAGGAAACCAAAAUGAACCGGACCGGUCCAGGUGUCUAUAUAAACGUAAGGACACCGGUCCAGCUCACUUUGUUCACCCCUUUCUCUCUCUAAGUCUUCUCUCUUCUCUCACCUCUCUCUAACCUUCACCACCGGAGUGGAUGAAGCUACGGCGGAGACCUUGAAGGUCCGCCGGAAACUUCAUCUUCUCCGGCGAGAUCAAGCAGUUUCCGGUGACCAAAUUUUCCAGAACUCAAAGAGUUUUACACCAAAUGAUUCGUCCUUUAACCCUAAACACGAAUCCAGCAAUUAUUUCUUCAAAAUCAGUUUGAAACGACGUAGAUCUUGAAAAAACUCAUACGGUUUUGAAAUGAUUUUUUGAUUUUUUUUGAACAAAAACGUUUAGAUCUUUAAAGAUUUACAUCGUUUCGUCGUUUGAUUGAUUUUCUGGUAUGCGUUCUUGCUUUCAAAACUUAGAUCCUUAUGGAUCUAGGUUUUAUGUUUACGGUUACGGCCUUGGCUUUGAAUUCUGGAAAUCUUUGGAUUCGGUUUGUUUUAUUUCACUAAUUCAUGCUUUUUUCAAAGAAAAUGAUGUUGAAGUUGUUUACCUGUGAUUUUCGAUUCGGAGACUCUGUAGGAAGAGCUUCUGGAAACUUUGAUCUGGUUCUUUUGUGACUUUGUUGCUUUGAAACUGGAAACAACACGGUGUUUCUUCACUGAUUCACCUUCUUCUUCUUCUCCACCGGUUCAAUCUUCUUCGUUUUCUUUCCCUCUUCUUCUCACUGUUAUCUCUGUGAUCGCGCCUGGAUUCGUUGCCAAACGGUGACGGAGCUGCGCUUGAAUUGCAGAGGAAUUGGUUCUAUGAUGAUGAUUCCUCAGGAAUCUCUGAGAAUCAAUGGAAAAUUCAAUGAAUUUUGAUGAUUUUUUGGUUUUCUGGAAAUCUAGGGUUUGGAUUUUUGUUCUGUGUUCUUGAUGAUUUCUGUUUUGAUCUGUAACUGCUAAGAGAGAGAGAGAGUUCUCUGUUUGUUGAGGUGGCGUGUGAUGAAUCGAAAAACGUGUGGCACUGUACACCUUUUAUAGCUUGACAUGUGUGCAUUGGAACCAAUAGGAUAGUGACACCUAGAUUUGUAUGAAAAUGGCGCAGCUUGGACUUAAAAUGGAUUCUGGACCUUUCUGCAAAAACAAAGAAAUUGAGGGCUAAACUGCAAAAUAAAAUAAAAAAAAACUUGAAAUGAAAUAAAAACAGUUUGGACAAAAAUGCAAUUUUGGGACCUCAAUUGAGGGACCAAAAUGCAAUAAAAAAAAAUAAAAUUUGAAUAAAAAACGUAAUUUGACCAAACGUAAAGCGAAACAAAAAUAAAAUUGACAAAACGGACUAAAACGAACCAAUGGCCUAAAUGAGGUACUUCAAAGUAACCUCUCUAUGCCAAAAUUUCGUGUGAAAUGACCAAAAUGCCCCUAGGGCUAAAAUUGACCUAAACAGAUUCGAAUUGACUUGACACUGACUCAGACGCAAGUUUGAAAUGAAUUUUAACAAGGUUUACUGAUGAAAUGUUUAAAAAUCAAUCUGAAAAGACUCAGAGACAGUCACAAGGAUGAAAAUGGGUCCCACUGCAGGAAAUGACCAAAAUACCCUUCUGUAUGACUUUCUUGCGAAUUUUGAAAUAAACUGUAGAAAAAGCAAUGUAAUGAAUCAGAGACACUUUUGAGUGACUUACAAGACAAGUAAAGACAUUUCAAAAGGUUUUAUGCAAGAAAAACAUAGGUAAAAUUGUGAUUGAAAAUACUGCGAGGCAGAGACAAUUUGAACUGUGCAGUUGAAAUUUGAUAAUUGACAAAGUUUGAAAUGAAAUUGGGCCCAGUAUUUUUAGGUCCAAAAACAGGGUAUAACAGCUGCCCCUAUUUAAGUUUCUUUGUCUGGAGAGUCAAGAGACGUAGUCUUUGGCUUGACAGGACGAAGAUACUUAAAUAUUAGCAUUUGCACUGUGUUUGGACGUAAAAAUACGCCCACCCAUUUUCAAAUAAUAUGCAUGCCAUGCAUCAUUUGGAUUAUGAAUGCAAGACCUCAUGGGGAUUGGAAUUAACAAAAUAUGUCGUAUCCAUUGCGGGAUUGGUAGACAUUGACAAAGAUAGUGAAUAGCAGAGUAACGGGAAACUAGAAACAAGUUGGACAGGUACAAGCUGUUCUUGGAUUCAAACUAGCCACUUGACCGAGGAUGAAACAAACAGACAACUGCGAGUUGUUCUUAUGGAUUCGAACUGGUCACUUCACAGGGGAUAGAGGUUACUGGACAAACAUGAGCUGUUCUUAUGGAUUCGAACUGAUAACUCACUUGGGGAUAUUGGAAAGUGCGAGUUGUUCUUAUGGAUUCGAACUGGUGACUCGACUGGAAAAAAGAGAAAAUUGGCAAGUACGAGUUGUUCUUAAGGAUUCGAACUGGUUACUCGACUGAAAGCAAGGCAAAUAGACAGGUGCGAGCUUGUUCUUGGAUGCGAACUGGUUACUCCACCGGAGACAAAUACAAAAUAGACAGGCGCAAGCUGCUCUUGGAUCGAGCUAGCCACUUGAGCGAACAGAAACAGAUAGACGGGUACAAGCUGCUCUUGGAUUGAGCUAGUCACUUGACUGAAUGGGGACAUAUUGACAGGUACAAGCUGCUCUUGGAUUGAGCUAGGCACUCGACCGAUAACAUAAGCAAAUUGAUAGGUACAAGCUGUUCUUGGACUUGAACUAGCCACUUGACCAAACAGAAACAUAUUCACUGGGGAUUGGUUUAUUGGCACAAUAUAGAUUGAGGUUGACUUGACGUCGAUUUAGUUUGAAAUGAAAUUAAGACUGAUGUUAUUGGCUCACAAGGUUUUGACAGAGAACCUGACAUGAGUAUUGAAUUGAGACUGAUGUUGACAUUGGAAAUGCAAUAUGCAUGGAUGAUAUAACAGAUUCAUUAAUAUGCAUGGGUACGUAAUAUGCAUGAUUAUGCAUGUAUGAAUGCUUGUAAUGCAUGACUGUUGGCAUUUUGUAGGCACGACUUCACGGGGAAGACAAGACAUCAGAAUAUUGGGCACGUAGUGGCUCGUGCUAUAUUACACAUUCUUGGAAAUCCUCUUUGAAGAUGACGUCGUUGGGAGACGUAUCGGAACCAUGGCUGAGGGCAGGUAGCUAUGCAACUUGCUGGAGAUAGAAUCUUGGAAGACUUUACUGGGGAAAACGCCGUUGUGCUGGGCAUUUCAGUACUGGGUACGUUGUGGACAUCGCAUCUGUGGUCAAUGCUUUUUGCAUGUUAUUUUCUCAAUUUUCAUUCAUCAUUUUUUGCAUCCCAUUUUUGCCUGGAUCGCCCUUUCGAGUUUUCGAUCCACCGGAGAAAUAGAUUCUAUUCAAUGCCCCAUUUUUGCCUGAACUGCCCUUUCGGGUUGUCAAUCCAGCGGGGUGCUCAUUUUUGCCUAAGUCGCCCUUUCGGGUUUUCAACUUAGCGAGCUCAUUUAUUUUCAUGCAUUUUCAUUCUGUUUUUUCAUUCUUGCCAUUGACCACAGACUAUCCUUGAGAAGAACCUGCUUGUAACAUAUAUUGAAAUAGACAUCAACAUACUCUCGCUCAUGCAUGCUUCAUUUGAAUGUACCCUGUUGCUCAGGUUUGCUUUUCAAAACAGACAAAAAGUUUUUAAUUUUCAAAAAUGUUUGUUUCGAGCAUUAUCAUUAUCAAAAUAGAAAGAAAAUGUUUUGUAUAUAGCUUUGAAAGUAAAAAGAAAGCAGAGUUUCAAACAAAAGCACAAGCUCAAAUUGAUGUAUAAGAGUGGUGGUCAGCCGAAGGCGUGACUCCACGGAUUUACAAAGCUUGGAAAAUGGUAAUUUUAUUGGUUGGUGGUACAUUGAACACAGUAAUCAUGACAUUUCCCAGAAACUUUGAAUUCGCAAGCAUAAGAGCUUUUGAUGAAGACGGUCAUUAACAGCUGCAGAUGCCCCAAGGGAGACGGUGGUUGGUCAGAUAUAGUUACUUGCCUUUUGUUUCGAUCUCAUUUUUGCAUGAACCGCCCUUCCGGGUUUUCGGCUCAUCGAGACGCUCAUUCUUGCCUGAGUUGUGUACAAUCUCAGCGAGCUUUUCAUAUAUAUUUUUUUUGUCCCUUAUUUUUGCCUGGACCGCCCUUUCGGGUUUUCGAUCCACCGGGAAGCGCAUUUUUGCCUAGGCCGCCCUUUCGGCUUUUCGACCUACCACGCUGUUCUUUUCAUAUUUCUAGGCAAAGUAUUUCUUGACUAUAUCGGCAUUCACUGGAUUUGGAAGUUCCACACCAAUCCAUGUGUGUAAGGAUUAAAGCACCACCGGAGAAGGCCUUCUUGACAACAUAAGGACCUUCAUAGUUAGGCGUCCACUUGCCCCUUGGGUCGGGUUGCUGGCUUAUCCUCCUUUUCAAUACAAGUUCUCCUACCUUGAAUUCUCGAGGAUGUACUUUCUUGUCAAAAGCAGUCUUCAUUCUUGCUUGAUAUGACUGUCCACGAGCCAUGGCAUCCAUACGUUUUUCCUCAAUCAAAUUCAACUGAUCAUACCGGCUUUGGCACCAUUCAGCCUCGGAUAACUUUGCUUCCAUGAUCACACGGAGAGAUGGGAUCUCCACUUCCAAAGGAAGAACUGCUUCCAUACCAUAUACAAGAGAGAAAGGGGUUGCCCCGGUUGAACUGCGCACAGUAGUACGGUAGCCAUGCAGAGCAUAGGGUAACAUCUCAUGCCAGUCCUUGUAAGUGGUUACCAUCUUCUGGACAAUUCUCUUGAUAUUCUUGUUGGCGGCCUCAACUGCACCAUUCAUCUGAGGUCUAUAAGGAGAAGAGUUAUGAUGCUCAAUUUUGAAUUCUUCACAAAGAGCUUGCACCACAUUGUUGUUCAGGUUGGUACCAUUAUCGGUAAUAAUCUUGCUGGGAACACCAUAUCGACAGAUGAUGUUGUUCUUGAUGAACUUAGCUACCACUUGCUUGGUCACAUUGGUAUAAGAUGCUGCUUCAACCCAUUUGGUAAAGUAGUCAAUUGCCACUAAGAUGAAACGAUGACCAUUUGAAGCCUUCGGUUCAAUUCUUCCAAUCAUGUCGAUGCCCCACAUCGAGAACGGCCAUGGGGAUGACAUAACAUUGAGAGCGUGCGGAGGCACAUGAAUCUUAUCAGCAUAGAUUUGACAUUUGUGGCAUUUUCUGGCGUACUGGUAGCAAUCAUGCUCCAUGGCCAUCCAGUAGUAACCUGCUCGUAACAACUUUCUUGACAUAGUAUGCCCUGUAGCAUGGGUCCCGAAGGUACCGUCAUGUACAUCAUGCAUUAACUGCUCUGCUUCAUGUUCAUCAACACAUCUUAAUAAUACCAUGUCAUAGUUUCUCUUGUACAGAAUAUCUCCAUCUAACAGGAAUCUACUGGCCAAUCUUCUCAGGGUCUUCUUGUCUUGUUUGGAAGCACCCGACGGAUACUCACGGCUCAGCAAGAACUGUUUGAUGUCGUAGUACCAGGGUUUAUAGUCAACCACAUUUUCACCAGCCUGAUCAAUCACACCCCCAAUAGCAAACACAUGCGAAGGUCUUUCAAGGCGUUGCACUUUGAUUAUUGGCACAUCAUUCCAAUGGUUUACUCGAAACAUGGAGGAUAGAGUAGCAAGAGCAUCAGCCAUUUGGUUCUCAUCACGAGGAAUAUGAUGCAGCUCAACCUUUGUAAAAUAUGUCAGAAGACGUCUCGCAUAAUCACGAUAAGGAAUCAACUUAGCAUGGUGGGUCUCCCAUUCACCCUUUAUCUGAUUGAUGACGAGCGCAGAAUCUCCAUAGAUGUCGAGGUGUUUGAUUCUCAUGUCAAUUGCUUCCUCGAUCCCGAAGAUACAUGCUUCAUACUCAGCCAUGUUGUUGGUACAUUCGAACAGAAUUCGGGCGGUAAAGGGAAUGUGAUGCCCUUGCGGGGAUACAAUGACUGCCCCGAUUCCUUUGCCAUAAGCAUUGACAGCACCAUCAAAGACUAAACCCCACUUGCUAUUGGGAUCUGGACCUUCAUUAAUCAACGGUUCGUUGCAGUCUUUGGAUUUCAAAUACAUGAUCUCUUCAUCAGGGAAAUCGAAUUCAAUUGGUUGGUAAUCAUCAAGAGGUUGAUAAGCAAGGUGAUCGGCAAGAAUGCUGCCUUUGAUUGCCUUUUGAGUUUUGAACACAAUAUCAUAUUCAGACAAAAGCAUCUGCCAGCGUGCAAUCUUCCCCGUAACGGCCGCUUUCUCAAAGAUAUACUUUAUCGGAUCCAUUCUGGAUAUCAGCCAAGUCGUAUGAUUCACCAAAUAAUGGCGCAGGCGUUUAGCAGCCCAAGCUAGAGCACAACAAGUCUUCUCAAGCAUUGUAUACCGAGUUUCACAAUCGGUGAACUUCUUGCUUAGAUAGUAGAUAGCAUGCUCUUUCUUUCCGGUUUCAUCUUGUUGACCGAGUACACAUCCCAUGGAUUCAUCAAAUACUGCCAAAUACAUAAUCAAAGGCCUUCCUUCCACGGGUGGGACAAGGAUAGGUGGUUCCAGCAGGUAAUUCUUGAUGCUAUCAAAAGCUUCUUGGCAUUCAUCAUUCCAUACAACAGGCUGGUUCUUUCUAAGUAGCUUGAAGAUCGGCCCGCAGGUUGCAGUCAUAUGAGAUAUGAAUCGGGAGAUGUAAUUCAAACGUCCCAAGAAACCUCUGACUUGCUUCUCUGUCUGUGGAGCUGGCAUUUCUCGGAUGGCCCGGACCUUAUCAGGAUCGACUUCAAUGCCCUUUUGGCUGACAAUGAAGCCUAAUAACUUUCCAGACCUGACACCGAAUGUACAUUUGUUGGGAUUCAAUCGCAGCUUGUAUUUUCUCAACCUUUCAAACAUCUUUGUUAAAUAUUCAACAUGCUGCUCCUCAUCUGCUGACUUCACAAUCAUGUCAUCCACAUAUACCUCAACUUCCUUGUGAAUCAUGUCAUGAAACAGAGUGGUCAUUCCCCUUUGGUAGGUAGCACCAGCAUUGAUUAGGCCGAACGGCAUCACCUUGUAGCAGAAAGUACCCCAUGGAGUGAUAAAAGAUGUCUUUUCUCUAUCUUCAGGAGACAUUUUGAUCUGAUUAUAACCGGAAAAACCGUCCAUGAAGGAGAACACCUUAGAUUGAGCAGUAUUAUCAACAAGCACAUCAAUAUGAGGUAAUGGAAAGUUGUCUUUUGGACUGGCUUUGUUCAAGUCCCUGAAGUCAACACACAUCCGGACUUUACCAUCCUUCUUUGGCACAGGCACAAUGUUAGCAACCCAUUCAGGGUACUCAACUGUCAUGAGGAAACCCGCAUCAAUCUGCUUUUGAACUUCACUCUUGAUCUUGAGAGCCAUGUCAGGAUGAGUCCUUCUCAAUUUCUGCCUGACGGGAGGACAUUCAGGCUUGGUAGGGAUCCGAUGCUCCACGAUCAUAGGGUCUAGACCUGGCAUAUCUUCAUAGGACCAUGCAAAAAUAUCCGGAUAUUCCCGGAGGAGUUGGAUGAUCUUCUGUUUAACCCCUUCCUCUAGAGUAGCACCAAUCUUGAUUUCUCGCUUGUUUUCCUCGGUACCUAUGUUGAUAAGCUCAAUCUCUUCUUGGUGAGACUGAAUGGCUUUCUUCUCUUGCUCAAGUAACCGAGUGAUCUCAUACGGUAUGUCAUCACCUUCCUCAUCUUCGGCUUCAUACACAGGGAGAUCAAAACUUGGGGGAACCGUAAGAUUACUGUGUUCAACGGGUUUAUUAUGGUUCAAACUCAGAAACAUGCAUGAUUGAAGGAAUGUUAAUGGCAUCCCAAUUUGUCGCAAUGCCUCCUGGUGUAACAAAUACAGGCCUGAGACCAGAUCCAGUGGCUUCUUCAGAGAUAGCAUUAACAAACCCUGCACUGUGGAAGACUCCCGAGGAAACCCUUGAUGACGGGGAGAACCCGAGACCUUCUUUACGCUUGUUCUCACAGAGCUGUAUCAUCUUGCCCCAGCCGGCAGUCUGACCUUCUUGGAUGGCUCUCUGAACAUCUUUCAAUGAAGCCAUAGCAGCCCCAGCUUCCUUAGACUCUGCACUUUCAAUGGUCAAACCUUGGAAAGCAGUCCCUUCAGCAGACCCUGCUUCAACACAAGAAAAAGAAGACAACUGGCUGACUAAGUAUGCUUCUUCACCAUGGAUUGUAACGAGUUUUCCAUUCUUCACAAAUUUCAACUUCUGAUGUAAGGUGGAAGUAACCGCACCUGCAUCGUGUAUCCACGGUCUUCCCAGCAGGCAACUGUAGGAUGCAUUAAUGUCCAUCACUUGGAAAGUAACCAAGAAAUUCUCAGGGCCAAUGGUUAUCGGCAAGUCUAUUUCCCCCAGCACAUUCUUUCGAGAUCCAUCAAAAGCUUUGACCAAGAAAGUACUUCUUCUCAAAGGGGUCCCACGGUAGCUCAACUGAUCUAGAGUUGUCUUGGGCAUUACAUUGAGAGAGGAACCGGUAUCCACCAACACAUUUGAUAUCAUGUCUGAUUUACAAUUCACCGAGAUGUGCAAAGCCAGAUUGUGACCCUUUCCCACUUCUGGCAACUCUUCUUCACUGAACCAGAGGUUGUUACAAGCAGUAAUAUUUCCCACUAUGCCACCAAACCGAUCUACCGUAACUUCAUGGUCAACAUAUGCCUGCUCCAGCACUUUCAACAAGGUAUUCCUGUGAGCCUCAGAGCUCAAGAGUAAUGACAAUACAGAUAUCUUCGAAGGAGUCUGCAGCAACUGAUCAACGAUCUUGUAGUCGCUCCUCUUUAUUAUUCUCAGAAUCUCAUCUAAAUUCGAAUCCUCUAUAGAUUUGCCUGGCUGAUUCACAUCUGUAGCAAUGGGUGAAACAACGGUUGGAGUUGCUUCUUCAACUGGUGGGAUGGUCGGUGUAGCUACCUUCUGCUGAAAUAACGGCGGACGAACCUUCCCGCUUCUUAGUGCUGCAGAAGUCCCUUCGGCAAUAUUGCUUACUGUGGCAAAGGAGGCUAGAGGCACCUCUACUCCAUUUUCUAUCAUAGUAGCAUUGUAUUUGUAUGGAACAGCCUUGUCCGAAACAUAAGGAAUUGGUCCUGGCAACCUUAUCACCAAAGGCUCAGCAUUCUUCUUCAAAGGUACACUCUUGACAGGCGGAUCGUGAAAAACUGGCACAAUCACGCAAACAUCACUGACGGUCAGGAAAUUAUCAUUCAUCAAACUUUGGAUGUCGUCUUGAACAGCAUGGCAACCCAAAGGAUCACGGAGGCAUCCUAGACACUUGGCAUGAUCAUGGCUGAACAGAGAAGCUUUGCACAGCUUGAUGUGUAGAGGCACCAGAGGAGUAGCAACAUUGCGGACAUCAAGUCUAGGAGCUUCCUUACACACUUCGAUCAUAUUCACAGCGGCAUGAUUUGGUAGUGGAUUGUCAAGGACAUGUGGAACAUUGUUCUCAAAAGUCAGCUUUCCCUGAUCAAUGAGCUUCUUCACGAUAUACUUCAAAGCAUAACACCCCUCGACAUCAUGACCUAAGGCACCUUGAUGAAAGUCACAUUUGAGAUCAGACCUGAACCUUGGAGGCAACGGAUCAGGUGGUGGCUUGCCCUGUCUAGUUGUGCAGUGUCCUCUCUGGAGUAAAGUUGGAAGCAACUCAGCAUACAACAUUGGUAUAGGAGGAAAAGUUGGUCUAGUAUACUGCUGCUGCUGUUGUUGUUGUUGUUGUUGUUGAACCGGCAACUGUUGUUUCAUCUGUUGGGCAAUUGCAUUGACGGGCACUUGAGGCUGGCCCGGUGGCAAAGGGUACUGAUGAUAAAACGGUGGGAAGAACGGAUGCUGAGAAUACGGCAUAUAUGGGUAUGACGGAGGCAUUUGAGCUGCAUUGAUAGGUGCAACAGUAGCCAUUGAUUGACCGGCUCCAGCUGACACCAUCCCCACUUCCGUUUCUUUCUUCUUGUGGUGUCCAUUACCAUACCUCUUCGAUGCACUCGUAGAAGAUUCAGCUUUCUCAAACACAAUGAUCCCAUCUCUGACUGCUUCCUCAAGACGGGUUCCCAUAGUGACCAUCUCCGAAAAGUUGUUCGGGGCAGCGAUGAUCAUCCUCUCAACAUAAUCUUUCUUCAAGGUCUUUAAGAACGUCUGGGUCAUUUCUUCUUCAUCUAAAGCAGGAGUGAUACGGGCAGCUGCCCCUCUCCACCUUUGCGCAUAUUCACGGAAACUUUCCUCCUUUUUCUGAGAUAGGGACCUGAGAAACUCCCUAUUCGGCUUCAAACGAGUGUUAAACCCGUAGUGGCUCCUGAAAGCGGUGGCUAGCUCAUCAAAAGUAUGGACAUCGUCUUUGCUCAGACUAGUAUACCACUCUGCAGCAUCCUCCAUCAGACUGUCUUGGAAGUAAUGGAUCAUAAGGGAAUCAUUGUCCUUGUAGUUGCCCAUCUUUCGGACAUAUUUGACAAUAUGAUUUUGAGGACAAGUCAGCCCGUUAUAUUUGUCGAACUCCGGGACUUUGAACUUUUUUGGAACAUCUACCUUCGAUACCAAGCAGAGAUCCUGGGUUUUAAUGGAGUCUCCAUUUCCCCUGUUGGCCUUAAUUUCCCGUCGGAGCUCUUUGGCAAGUUCUGCCAUUCUCUCUUCCAUAGUUCCGGUUGUGGCAAUACUCCCGUGGUGCGCAUUAGCAUGGACAAAUAGAGGCACCGCAUUCACAAUGGGCUCGGUAACAGUUGUUGCAGCUUGAGUCAAGGCGGUACUAAUAGGAGUUAAAUUUGCCCCUGGGAUCGGGCCAUUGUUGGUAGUACCAGAGGUCCCUGCCCCUGUAUUAGCAGUAUAGUACAGCGGAAGUCCGUAAGGAUACCCGGAUGGCAUGAUAGAGCGGGGAUCAGUUGUUACGGUAGGAGUCACAUUUGCAGCUGUAGAAACCACAGGAACUGGUUGUUCCUGAGCAGCCAACAGAGCAGUCAUAGCAUCAUGAGCUUUGGCCAAUUCCUCCCUUAAAGAUGCCAAUUCGGUACGAAGCUGUGUGUUCUCUUCUUCCAUAGCCCUUUUCUUUCUUCUGUAUUCUCUGGUUCGAUCGGUUCUAUCCGGUUCGUAAACUCUCUGAGCACGAGCCACUUUUCACACUGCGGCAGAGAAACCAGGAGGUGGUAAGCACUUGGAAGCCUUUGUGACCAAUGCAUGAUGCAUAUGAUGCAUGAUAUGUACAAAUGCAAAUGCAAAAGUUUUCUUUUUUCAUCGAAGGAUUUUUAAACAAAUUAGAAAUCUUGCAAAUAAUCAAAACUACAUAGUAUUUUCAGAAGGAAGACUUUGAAAUUUCAACAAGAUAAACAAAUGAAGCCCUCAAGGAACCAACUGGAAGUCCGGGAAAGUGAAGCAACGGAAGCUCGGAUCAUAAAAUUGCACUAGAGUGUUCACUAGCUUCUCUUCCACAUCGGUUCGGAGCAAAGUAAGCAAUCCCCCAUACCGGAGUCGGAAUCCUGUUUGACUCUUGACCUUGAGUGCCAACUCUCUCAAACUGACCAAAUCCACUUCCUUGAACUUGUAGCACUUAGUCUUCUUCAUACCUGUGAUUAUUUACAAAAAUUCUCAUUUGUUUAAACCCUUCGAUGAAUGCAUGAAAAAAUGUUUAUGCAUGAAUGCAUGUAUGCACGAUUGUGUUGUUUAAAAGUGGAUUGAGCUUCAAAGUAACGGGGCCACGGAUGGACACGGCGUCCGGUGAACUAAGGCUUUAGAUAGUAGUAACCAUGGUUCUAACACAGUUCCCAAACUGCAACCUCUCUCACAUAUAUCAUGGUAGUACAGGACGACACCCGUUCCAUGAUUAUUUGUGAGAAGGUCUAGUUUGAGUGUAGUAUCGCGUGACAACUAAAGUUUGAGACAACACUCAAUUUAGCCACCGCACUACGUCCUAAAAAGGCUAGGAUGGGUUUGGUAACUACGGUUCAUAGCUUCGUUGAACAAUUGAAAGUGAAGUGCCUAAGCAUGACAACACACGCCGACAAUAUCACCUUCAAAAUGCCUCAGCUAUGUGAGAUUGAUCGCAUAAUCCAAUACACGAGGCAACCCCCGGAUCGAAUUGUCGAUUAUAUCUCUACCUAAACAUAAGUUCACUCAGCCCGGGUAUAGGACUUUUGAUAUUCUCACCCCACACGUCAAAUGAAAGUAAACAAGUAUUUACAUAUGUAAGCAAUAAAACAAAGCGUAAAUAUAAACUAAGGAAAACUAGGCGCGACCCGCUAAAAAAAGUCCCCAGUGAAGUCGCCAUUUCUGUUAUCAUGGUUUUUGGGUGCCAAGCCAUUAAUUGGACUUGUACCUUUCGACCGUUGAUAUCUCUCUUUUUUCUUGGGAAGGGUAAAAGGAGAAAAACCCUUGAGUUUCCGAAUUCGGGGGUCGGUUUUACUACGGGAAGGUGUUAGGCACCCGGAGUAACUAUAGUCCUCUAUAGGAGCCGUUUUCCUAAGUCUAUAUUCACGCUUAUUUUUACUUACUUUUGAAAAUGGGAGGUUUAUUUAGUUAAGAAUGGGGGGAGAGAAGUUGUAAGACUUUUUAUCUUUUAGUUGAUUUGAAGAAAAUUUUAAUGUGUUGCUAUUUGAUUUUUUAAAGUUUGAAAAUGAUUUUUUUGAAGAAGAGAAAGGAGGCCUUAAAGGCUUGAGAAGUAAAAAAUGUGAAGUUUGUCCAAUUUUACUUAAUAAAAUAGUCUAAGUCACUUAAGGUUCAUUUAGAAUUUUCUUAAGAAAGUAAAAGGAAACAUCAAAGGAGCUUUGACUCCAAAGUUCAUUUUAAAGAAAAAAGCUAGAAUUAUGGAACUUGGUUUGCUUUACGAAAAAAUAUUUUCUAAGUACUCGCGUUCCCUAAUCAUACAUCUAAACGAAUGUCAUACACCGUGUGUGAGUGUCGGUGCUCGUGUCGGUGUACAUCAAUAGAGUCCAUAGUCCCUUUUACAUUGUCCUAGAUACAUUCUAUGGUCUUUGCAUGAAAUAUAAAAGAUAACACCUACCUAAAUAUUACAAUUCCAAACAAAAGUAAAAAAUGAAUGCAAAGAAACUAAACUAUGUAAAAGAAUGGAAAUGGAAUGCUAAAUGAUAUGUAUGAAGUACCAAAGUAAACUUGUUAGUGAGAAAAAAACAUAACAAGUACUAAGAAAUAAAAGCAUGCAAGAUGGCACAAAAAGUUAACAAAAUGACAUUAAACCCUAAAAACUUAGGUAUGAAACCUAAAGCAUUCUUGGCCUCUAAUUCUCAUGCUUUAACAAAUUUUGAAAGAGUUUUCUUUAUCUCAAGUUAUAGCAUGGAAUUAUUGGAAACAUGCAAGCAUGGUUUCAUGCCAUAUUUUCUAGAAUAAACUUGGCAUUUUAUAUCUUUCAAAAUAUGCAUAUAUUGUUCAUAAAAUUAAGAACUCAUGAACCAAAUCAAAGCAGCAAAUCAACAUGAAAUUAUAGGCACAAAUCUCUCAUAUUAACAUAUCAAGUAGCUUUUAUUACAUAUUCUCACAUCAAGGACAAAUGUGUGAAGAAGAAACCAUAACAAAUAAUUCAAAGAGAAUUAAAAUGCUAUGCAUUAAUUAUACCAAAAUUUCAUAGAUCCUUAAUGUGCAAAAAUGUCAUAAAAAACACUAAGAAAAUAUCAAGAAACAUGUAUGAAUUUUUCUAGGAAUUUUAUCACAAGUUUAAACAAGACGUAGGUGCAGAUAGCAAAAAAUAGGGGUGUGAAUAGCACAGGAAUAGCAAAACGUGAAAGAAAACUGAGGCCCCAAACCAAAACCCAAAACAGACUGGACCUGGAUCAUCCAAAGGCCUCAGAGGCGUUGGAUUGAUCCGGAUCCAGAUCUAACGGUUCAAAACACGCAGCGCAUGGUAACGUAGAUCAAGCAUAUGGUAACAAACGCAUCACAGCCAUUCAAAAGAAAAAAAACCUAGAUCCUACGGUCCAAAAAGGAAACCAAAAUGAACCGGACCGGUCCAAGUGUCUAUAUAAACGUAAGGACACCGGUCCAGCUCACUUUGUUCACCCCUUUCUCUCUCUAAGUCUUCUCUCUUCUCUCACCUCUCUCUAACCUUCACCACCGGAGUGGAUGAAGCUACGGCGGAGACCUUGAAGGUCCGCCGGAAACUUCAUCUUCUCCGGCGAGAUCAAGCAGUUUCCGGUGACCAAAUUUUCCAGAACUCAAAGAGUUUUACACCAAAUGAUUCGUCCUUUAACCCUAAACACGAAUCCAGCAAUUAUUUCUUCAAAAUCAGUUUGAAACGACGUAGAUCUUGAAAAAACUCAUACGGUUUUGAAAUGAUUUUUUGAUUUUUUUUGAACAAAAACGUUUAGAUCUUUAAAGAUUUACAUCGUUUCGUCGUUUGAUUGAUUUUCUGGUAUGCGUUCUUGCUUUCAAAACUUAGAUCCUUAUGGAUCUAGGUUUUAUGUUUACGGUUACGGCCUUGGCUUUGAAUUCUGGAAAUCUUUGGAUUCGGUUUGUUUUAUUUCACUAAUUCAUGCUUUUUUCAAAGAAAAUGAUGUUGAAGUUGUUUACCUGUGAUUUUCGAUUCGGAGACUCUGUAGGAAGAGCUUCUGGAAACUUUGAUCUGGUUCUUUUGUGACUUUGUUGCUUUGAAACUGGAAACAACACGGUGUUUCUUCACUGAUUCACCUUCUUCUUCUUCUCCACCGGUUCAAUCUUCUUCGUUUUCUUUCCCUCUUCUUCUCACUGUUAUCUCUGUGAUCGCGCCUGGAUUCGUUGCCAAACGGUGACGGAGCUGCGCUUGAAUUGCAGAGGAAUUGGUUCUAUGAUGAUGAUUCCUCAGGAAUCUCUGAGAAUCAAUGGAAAAUUCAAUGAAUUUUGAUGAUUUUUUGGUUUUCUGGAAAUCUAGGGUUUGGAUUUUUGUUCUGUGUUCUUGAUGAUUUCUGUUUUGAUCUGUAACUGCUAAGAGAGAGAGAGAGUUCUCUGUUUGUUGAGGUGGCGUGUGAUGAAUCGAAAAACGUGUGGCACUGUACACCUUUUAUAGCUUGACAUGUGUGCAUUGGAACCAAUAGGAUAGUGACACCUGGAUUUGUAUGAAAAUGGCGCAGCUUGGACUUAAAAUGGAUUCUGGACCUUUCUGCAAAAACAAAGAAAUUGAGGGCUAAACUGCAAAAUAAAAUAAAAAAAAAACUUGAAAUGAAAUAAAAACAGUUUGGACAAAAAUGCAAUUUUGGGACCUCAAUUGAGGGACCAAAAUGCAAUAAAAAAAAAUAAAAUUUGAAUAAAAAACGUAAUUUGACCAAACGUAAAGCGAAACAAAAAUAAAAUUGACAAAACGGACUAAAACGAACCAAUGGCCUAAAUGAGGUACUUCAAAGUAACCUCUCUAUGCCAAAAUUUCGUGUGAAAUGACCAAAAUGCCCCUAGGGCUAAAAUUGACCUAAACAGAUUCGAAUUGACUUGACACUGACUCAGACGCAAGUUUGAAAUGAAUUUUAACAAGGUUUACUGAUGAAAUGUUUAAAAAUCAAUCUGAAAAGACUCAGAGACAGUCACAAGGAUGAAAAUGGGUCCCACUGCAGGAAAUGACCAAAAUACCCUUCUGUAUGACUUUCUUGCGAAUUUUGAAAUAAACUGUAGAAAAAGCAAUGUAAUGAAUCAGAGACACUUUUGAGUGACUUACAAGACAAGUAAAGACAUUUCAAAAGGUUUUAUGCAAGAAAAACAUAGGUAAAAUUGUGAUUGAAAAUACUGCGAGGCAGAGACAAUUUGAACUGUGCAGUUGAAAUUUGAUAAUUGACAAAGUUUGAAAUGAAAUUGGGCCCAGUAUUUUUAGGUCCAAAAACAGGGUAUAACAUGCUUCUAAUCCAAUUUUGAUAGAAAUCAUAUAACAGAGCUUUAAUUUUCUUUAAUUUGCUUCUAAUCCAAUCUUGAUAUUUCUUGGCAAUAGAACUUACGGGAUACACUUGUGCAAGCUAUAAUGAUUUGGACAUUUCAGCUCUUAUUCUAUAUCCUACUGAUUGAAUCAUGAAACUUAUUUUACUUUGAAAAAUGCAGCUGGAUGACACAUUCAAAGGCAUAACAUGUACCAGACAUGCUCAUGCUUAUUACUUAUAAUGGUAAGUGCUCUCUGCAUUCUUAUCUUAGGCUACACUUAACUGCGUAGAUCAAAAUUGGAAAUUAGAAAAAUGAAACACAAGGAUAGAUAAGUUUUGAGUUUUGACAUCCAUUUACAAUCUGCUUACUUUCUGUUUCGUACAUGGUUUAGGUAGAUAAGACAGUGUUCUUGCUGCAAAAAAGAAAUUUUGGUUUUUGUUUCUUUCAUAGAGCCUCGUGAUCAUGUGGAGGCAAGGGAUGAGGCUGAAAUUGUGUGGAUUCCAUCUAUUCCAAUUUGUACAUGGUUUGUAUUCAAGCAUUAUAAUAAAACAUAUUUCAUUUACAUUUAUAAAGGUUUUACUGAAACUAUGUUUCAAAUUUAUUUGCAACAAAUUGUUUUAUGUCCCAUCUUUUUGAGUCUCUUUAACGUUAAAUGUCUGUUUUUCUUCUCAUGUCUUCCCAGAAAGCAUGAGACUUGAGAAAAGAAACUGAUGAAUGACUUGUAUCAACCAAUUACAUGGUGAGAAUGUCAUGUGACCUUUUGGUGGAUGGGAGCUUCCAUGGUGUUUGGAUCACAGUCUACAUGCAAAAUUGGUUGGAAUUUCUAAUUCAACCAUAUUCACAGCUAUACAAUUUUGCAGGGCUCCGUCUUUUCUUCAUUAGAAUGUGUAGCCAAUGCAUCAAUAAGACUGGAUGGUUACAAUCAGCGACUCUUACAAAGACUGGAAUUCGUUUUAUAUGCUGCCAAAUGUAACACAGAACCAUUCUGCAAGGCACUACUCCAAUUUAUGCAUUAGGAAUGAUGAGACAGCAGACUUUGAUGGAAACGGACAGCUGAAUGAAGGAAACCGAGCAGCAGGACAAAGUUUGUUUCAGUCAGAGAAUAUCAUUGUCGAGAGGUGUGCAUUUUGUGAUGUCAGGACUCAGGCAUCCACUUCAAAGUCUGACUCUUUGUAUGUGUAAACGAAAAAUAGUUAGUUAGCUUUUGUUAUUAGUUAGUUGAGAUGACUCAUCAAAUCUCUCAUUGGUAGUUAGAACUUUACCAAUGUAUAAAUAGUGUUUCCUCUUUGUAAUGACUCAUUCAAUAACAAAAAUUCAGCAAUUGAAUUAUUCACAGAGAUGAGUUCUUUCUGAUUUCUUCUUCACCUUCUUUCUUCUGAUAGUAAAUUUUUGCAUAUCAAAAUUACAUUAUACUAGGGAAAGUAUGUUAGCAAUUGAAUUUUUGCAUAUCAUGACACUCAUUUUUGGUAAUACAAAUUGCAUCACAUUAUUCUUUCCCUAGUUUUACAUUCAAACAUAGUUAAGAUAACAUAUAAUUAUCUCACUGGCACAAAAUCUUGCCCUCCGUUUCUCAACGGAAAUCUGCAGACUACAUGGAAUACCAAACUCAAUUAUCUCAGACAGGGAUCCUAUUUUUUUAAGCACAUUUUGGAAAGAACUCUUUAGAGUCCAGGGCACCAAACUGAGGUUCAGUUCAGCGUAUCACCUAGAGACCGACGGACAAACAGAAGUCGUAAAUCGAAGCUUAGAAACAUACCUUCGCUGCUUCACCGGCGAUCAUCCCAAACAAUGGUUCAGAUUCUUGCACUUAGCUGAAUACUGGUUCAACACCAGUUUUCACUCAGCCAUCAAAAUGUCUCCUUUCGAAUCCCUUUAUGGCAGAGCACCUCCAACAGUUCGUGACUAUGUGAAAGGUCAAACUAAAGUGGUGGAUCUUGAAUCCGACCUGUUUCACAGACAACAAAUAAUGAGCGACCUCAAAGAGAACCUUAAGAGCAGCAAACAAAGAAUGGAGAAUCAAGCAACCAAAAGAGAAAAGACAGUACCUUUGAUUCAGGACAAAUGGUGUGGUUGCGCCUCCAACCGUAUAGGCAACACACAGUGCACCGUCGCACUUCCCCCAAGCUUGCAAAACGUUACUACGGUCCUUUCACCAUCCUUCGUUGUAUUGGCGCUGUAGCCUAUGAGCUAGACCUUCCUCUGACCUCUCGGAUACAUCCAGUGGUGCAUGUCUCUCAGCUUCGAGCAUACUAUGGAGAUAAGCUCUCCAGCCAGUUUUGUCCCAUUCCUUCAGAGAUUGAAGAAGCUUUGUCUGACUCAAUGGCUACAAUGGACAUAGAAGACGUUCUCAGCACAAGGAAUGAACCUGAAGAAGGGAUAGCUCUCUCUGAAAGAAAAGAAAAUGCAUCUAACCUUAUGGGAAAUCAAGUUCCUUCUUCCAACACAAAUAACCCACACCUACCUUCUGAAACCGAUGGGAUUUCCGACACCACUUUAACUCCACAGCCCCAUCCUAUACCACAGGAUCAUUAACCUUGGAACUAUCACCCACUUGUCCCAACGUUACCAUCUCCCACAACUAUUCUCCACCUUUCAUUCCACCUAACCCCACACACAACUGUUCAGAUCAAUUUUUGAAUCAGUCAAAUGGUACGCACCCCACAACUGCCUCCACUGGACCGCUAAACCCAAACCUUGAGGUCAAGGUUUCCUCUGGCCGGAUAGUAUUGAUAGCAUUCAGGAACCACAAAGAAUUAAAAGGGUAAUAAUCAAGCCAGCAUGGACCAAGAAUUAUGUUCUCAAGUAGUAUUGGGCCUUAUUUCAGUUUACUUGUCUUUGUAAGGACCUCUCUUUGAGACCCAGGCCCAUAACUUGUAAUAGGUCUAAACACUUUGACCUAGCUAUUUAAGAGCUAGUGUGCCUCUUGGUAUCUUCUUUACGUAUUAUCUUCUUUCUUUGUUCUUUGGCAUAGUUUAGAAUUUGUUGCUACUUUAACCAAAUCCAUCAGAUAAUCUCAUUGAUUUUCUACUUCUUACUUUCUCUUCUUUGAUACCAAACUUCAUCUUUCAUAUCUUAUUCUGUUUCCUCUGAAGUCUUUUUUUUAGCAGAUCUGAAGUUCAGUUUGUUUGUUCCACUUACUAUCCAUAUGAAACUCAUCAUUGAUAUCUUGUAGUUGUUACAAAAAAGCACACCAUUCAUUUUAUUGCUUCCUCUAAGUAUUUCUUUGGGAGAUCUUUCAAGUUCUUCAGUUUGUUUGUUCCACACACUUUCAAGUAACUUAUCUCUUUAAAUCUUAAUUUCCGUUGUUACUCAAAUUUCAUAUUUCAUAUUUUUUAUAUUGCCUCUAAAUCUUUCUCUAAUAUUAUUUAUACUCUCUUUCCUUGGCAGAUCUCAGUUUGUAUUUGUGCUGACAAAGAUCUCAGUUUGUUCUCACACUUUUAGGUAAUCUCUUUAUUUGUUAACAAAAGUUAAUCUUUCAAGAUAUGUUAUGCGAUAUGUCUGUGUUACUUUCAAUUUUCUAUGUCAUGUCAAUUAUUACUUUUUUUGAUACAAGAUGUCAUGUUAUUUUUCAAUUAUACUAUCUUAUUAUUAAUAUGAGUAUCGUCAAAAAAAAUACACUAUCCGUAUCACUUCAAAAUUUAUGCCCCCUACGUUUUAUUUAUAAUAGUAACGAAUACAUGAUAAUUUGAUAAAGUUAAUUAUUGUUAAAAUUAUUUUUUGAGGGGUAUUGCUAAAAUUAUUAUUUUCAUUAUACAUUUAGUUUUCUUUAAGGUGGUUCAAAUUUCAUGUGACAACUGUAAGAAAGAUGUCUAAUGUUUUAUGUCACCGUUAUAAAAAAAAAAAUUCUCAUUCUUCAAUUUAUCUUUUAAAAUAGUAUAUAAAAUAAACAAGGGUAUCACUUGUUUUAAAAGGAGUAUCAAAUGAAGAGAUUAUUAAUUCUUUAUCUUAAUGAAUUAUCUGCUCGUGCCAGUAAUACACAAUUUUACAACAUGCUAUAUAUAUCUUUAUCACCAAUAAAAAAUUGGCAUUCCUCUAAAAAAAAAACUUGGCAUCUGUACCCACAAAAUAAAAACUUGGCCUAGAACCAACACAUAUCAUCUCUAAUAACACCCCCUUAAAAAGAAAACCAUCUCUCAGAAUAAAAUGAUCGGCAUGUGAUAAUCUUUUGACUUUCAUAUUUGUAUUAAUUUUUGAAAAAAAAAAUCAUUUCAAGUUGCUAAAAUGUAUAUUAUUAAGACCAAGAUAGCUAAAUGUAUAUUAUUAAAACUGAGAUAGCUAAAUACUUAUAUUAAAACAAACUUGAAAAAAGUUUCGCCUCUAUUUGUAAAUUUCAUAUCAAACUGUUGUAAAAUUGUAUUAGCUAGUAGCAUCGUAUGAUUAUAUAUUUAAUUAUUGUUUCAUUCAUUUUAUUUGAUAGAAAGAACACAUUUCCAUCUUGCAGAGGCUUUAAGACUUGUGCUUUAGGCUCAACAUAUCAUGGCAGAGUUGGUAGCCGGGGCAUUUCUUCAGUCUUCCUUUCAAGUGAUUAUUGAGAAGUUGGCUUCCGUUGGUAUCAGAGACUACUUUAGUAGUAACAAUGUUGAUGAACUUGUGAAAGAACUUAAUAUUGCACUUGAUUCUAUCAACCAAGUACUAGACGAAGCAGAGAUAAAGCAGUACCAAAACAAAUAUGUGAAGAAGUGGCUUGAUGAACUUAAACAUGUUGUUUAUGAGGCAGACCAACUAUUAGAUGAGAUUUCUACUGAUGCAAUGAUAAAUAAGCAAAAAGCUGAAUCUGAACCACUUACCACCAAUUUAUUGGGUUUCGUUUCAGCUUUAACUACAAAUCCAUUUGAAUGUAGGCUCAAUGAACAACUGGAUAAACUAGAACUUCUUGCAAAGCAAAAGAAAGAUUUGAGAUUGGGAGAAGGUCCUAGUGCUAGUAAUGAAGGCUUAGUCAGUUGGAAACCUUCAAAAAGGUUGUCGUCUACAGCUCUCGUGGAUGAGUCAAGCAUAUAUGGUAGGGAUGUUGAUAAGGAAAAAUUAAUCAAGUUUUUACUUGAAGGCAAUGACGGUGGCAACCGGGUUCCAAUAAUCAGCAUAGUGGGUUUAGGAGGGAUGGGGAAAACCACCCUUGCUAAGCUUGUGUACAACGACAACAAGAUAAAGAAGCAUUUUGAACUUAAAGCAUGGGUCUAUGUUUCAGAAUCUUUCGAUGUUUUUGGACUCACCAAAGCAAUUCUCAAGUCAUUUAAUCCUUCAGCAGAUGGUGAAUACUUGGAUCAACUCCAACAUCAACUCCAAGACAUGCUAAUGGGAAAGAAAUACUUGCUUGUUUUAGAUGAUAUAUGGAAUGGGAGUGUAGAAUAUUGGGAGCAGCUACUACUUCCGUUUAACCAUGGAUCUUCUGGAAGUAUGAUUAUCGUGACAACACGUGAAAAGGAGGUAGCAUGUCAUGUUCUAAAAUCAACCAAAUUAUUUGAUUUACAACAAUUGGAAAAAAGCAAUUGUUGGAGAUUAUUUGUGACACAUGCUUUUCAAGGAAAAAGUGUGUGUGAAUAUCCAAAUCUUGAAACAAUUGGGAGGAAAAUAGUGGACAAGUGUGGAGGGUUGCCUUUAGCUAUAAAAUCAUUGGCACAACUUCUGCAUAAAAAAAUUUCUGAACAUGAAUGGAUUAAGAUAUUGGAGACUGAUAUGUGGCGUUUAUCAGAUGGGGACCACAACAUUAACUCAGUACUAAGAUUGAGUUACCAUAAUCUCCCUUCGGAUCUAAAGCGUUGCUUUGCGUAUUGUUCCAUUUUCCCCAAGGGCUAUAGAUUUGAAAAAGAAGUAUUGAUCAAGCUUUGGAUGGCAGAAGGUUUGCUGAAGUGUUGCGGAUCAGACAAAAGUGAAGAAGAGUUUGGUAAUGAAAUUUUCGGUGAUCUUGAGUCAAUUUCAUUUUUCCAGCGAUCAUUUGGUACAUAUGAGGACUAUUGCAUGCAUGAUCUUGUCAAUGAUUUAACAAAAUCAGUGUCAGGAGAAUUUUGUAUGCAAAUAGAGGGUGCUAGGGUGGAAGGUAUCAAUGAAAGGACACGUCAUAUUCAGUUCGCUUUUUCAUCACAAUGUGGUGAUGAUUUAUUUUUGACGAAUCCAAACGGUGUUGAUAACUUACUAGAGCCAAUUUGUGAGCUUAAGGGACUACGAAGUCUGAUGUUAGGACAAGGCAUGGGAGUUGUAAUGUGUAUUACCAACAACAUGCAACAUGAUCUAUUUUCAAGACUAAAAUUUUUGCGGAUGCUAACAUUUAGUGGUUGGCAUCUCUCAGAGCUUGUGGAUGAGAUAGGAAAGCUAAAACUUUUGCGUUAUCUAGACCUUACAUACACUGGUAUUAAAAGCUUACCUGAUACCAUUUGUAUGUUGUAUAAUUUGCAAACACUCUUGUUAAAAGACUGUUAUCAAUUGACUGAGCUCCCUUCAAAUUUUUCCAAACUCAUCAAUUUACGUCAUCUUGAGCUCCCUUGUAUAAAGAAAAUGCCAAAGAAUAUGGGAAAGCUAAAUAAUCUUCAGACCUUGUCAUAUUUUAUUGUGGAAGCCCAUAAUGAAUCUGAUCUCAAAGAUUUGGCAAAACUCAACCAUCUUCAUGGAACAAUUCAUAUUAAAGGGUUGGGUAAUGUCAGUGAUACUGCAGAUGCUGCCACAUUAAAUUUGAAAGAUAUAGAAGAAUUACAUACUGAGUUCAAUGGCGGACGAGAAGAAAUGGCUGAAAGUAACCUGUUGGUUUUGGAGGCUCUAAAACCAAAUAGCAACUUGAAGAAGCUCAACAUUACACACUACAAAGGUAGUAGAUUUCCAAAUUGGCUAAGGGGUUGUCAUUUACCCAACUUAGUAUCUCUUGAACUUAAGGGUUGUAAGUUAUGUUCCUGUUUGCCAACACUUGGACAACUCCCUUCUCUCAAGAAACUUUCCAUUUAUGACUGUGAAGGAAUAAAGAUCAUUGAUGAAGAGUUUUAUGGCAAUAAUUCAACAAUUGUUCCAUUCAAGUCCCUUGAAUAUUUGAGAUUUGAGGAUAUGGUCAACUGGGAGGAAUGGAUAUGUGUAAGGUUUCCUCUGCUUAAAGAGCUUUAUAUAGAAAAUUGUCCUAAAUUGAAAAGAGUAUUGCCUCAACAUCUUCCAUCUUUACAAAAUUUGUGGAUCAAUGAUUGCAACAUGUUGGAGGAAUGUUUAUGCCUUGGAGAGUUUCCUUUGCUUAAAGAGUUUUUAAUAAGAAAUUGUCCCGAAUUGAAAAGGGCUCUUCCUCAACACCUUCCUUCUUUACAAAAACUGGGUGUAUUUGAUUGCAACGAGUUGGAGGAAUUGUUAUGCCUUGGAGAGUUUCCUUUGCUUAAAGUGUUUUCUAUAAGAAAUUGUCUCGAAUUGAAAAGGGCUCUGCCUCAACACCUUCCUUCUUUACAAAAACUGGGUGUAUUUGAUUGCAACGAGUUGGAGGCAUCAAUUCCCAAGAGUGAUAAUAUGAUAGAGUUAGAUAUACAGAAUUGUGAUAGAAUUUUGGUAAAUGAAUUGCCGACUAGCCUGAAAAAGUUACUC
rnacentral:lncRNA from 1 species